AGUGAACGCUGGCGGUAGGCCUAACACAUGCAAGUCGAACGGCAGCACAGGAGAGCUUGCUCUCUGGGUGGCGAGUGGCUGACGGGUGAGGAAUACAUCGGAAUCUACUCUGUCGUGGGGGAUAACGUAGGGAAACUUACGCUAAUACCGCAUACGACCUACGGGUGAAAGCAGGGGACCUUCGGGCCUUGCGCGGUUGAAUGAGCCGAUGUCGGAUUAGCUAGUUGGCGGGGUAAAGGCCCACCAAGGCGACGAUCCGUAGCUGGUCGGAGGGGAUGAUCAGCCACACUGGAACUGAGACACGGUCCAGACUCCUACGGGAGGCAGCAGUGGGGAAUAUUGGACAAUGGGCGCAAGCCUGAUCCAGCCAUACCGCGUGGGUGAAGAAGGCCUUCGGGUUGUAAAGCCCUUUUGUUGGGAAAGAAAUCCAGCUGGCUAAUACCCGGUUGGGAUGACGGUACCCAAAGAAUAAGCACCGGCUAACUUCGUGCCAGCCGCCGCCGUAA
rnacentral:rRNA from 1 species